rnacentral:rRNA from 1 species
GUGCCAGCAGCCGCGGUCAUACCGGCAGCACGAGUGAUGGCCGAUAUUAUUGGGCCUAAAGCGUCCGUAGCCGGCCGCGCAAGUCCGUUGGGAAAUCCACUCGCUCAACGAGUGGGCGUCCGACGGAAACUGCACAGCUUGGGACCGGAAGGCUCGAAGGGUACGUUCGGGGUAGGAGUGAAAUCCCAUAAUCCCGCACGGACCACCGAUGGCGAAAGCACUUCGAGAAAACGGAUCCGACAGUGAGGGACGAAAGCCAGGGUCUCCAACCGGAUUAGAAACGGGUAGCC